rnacentral:rRNA from 1 species
GUGGCGGACGGGUGAGUAACGCGUGGGCAACCUACCCUUUAGCCCGGGAUAGCUUCCGGAAACGGGAGCUAAUCCCGGAUGCGGAGCAAGGGACGCAUGUUCGUUGCUCGAAAGCUACGGCGCUAAAGGAUGGGCCCGCGUCCCAUUAGCUAGUUGGUGAGGUAACGGCUCACCAAGGCGACGAUGGGUAGCCGGCCUGAGAGGGUGGACGGCCACACUGGGACUGAGACACGGCCCAGACUCCUACGGGAGGCAGCAGUAGGGAAUCUUGCGCAAUGGGCGAAAGCCUGACGCAGCGACGCCGCGUGAGGGAAAAAGGCCUUCGGGUCGUAAACCUCUGUCCUUGGGGACGAUGAUGACGGUACCCAAGGAGGAAGCCCCGGCUAACUACGUGCCAGCAGCCGCGGUAAUACGUAGGGGGCGAGCGUUGUCCGGAAUUACUGGGCGUAAAGGGUGCGUAGGCGGCAAGGUAAGUCCUGUGUGAAAGGUCGCG